AAUCACGUGACAAAUCCAGCUGUUUAACUAUGGUAGCUGCUCCACUGCUCCAUAUAUUGGAAGAGCUCAAAAGGUGAAAAAAAAAUAAACACCUCAAAAAUCAAACACUGUUAAAAUGGUAGAACUGGUCUGGGAUCAAGGUAGCUAGAACAAGUAGCUAUACAUCAACAUAGACUAGAAAUGAUGCUUGUUACUUCAGGGAGAAGAGUUUAUCCUAAGAAGACCGGGAAUUGUGGAAAAGAAUCUACGUGUGCAGCAUUUCAAACUUAUAUCAAAAAGUAA
rnacentral:lncRNA from 1 species